GGCUCCGUAGCUCAGUUGGAUAGAGCAACGGCCUUCUAAGCCGUGGGUCGUGGGUUCGAAUCCCUCCGGAGUCA
rnacentral:tRNA from 1 species